GUGUCAGCCGCCGCGGUAAUACAGAGGUCCCAAGCGUUGUUCGGAUUCACUGGGCGUAAAGGGUGCGUAGGCGGUCAGGUAAGUCUGAUGUGAAAUCUCGGGGCUUAACCCCGAAACUGCAUUGGAUACUAUUUGGCUUGAGGAAUGGAGGGGAGACUGGAAUGCUCGGUGUAGCAGUGAAAUGCGUAGAUAUCGAGCGGAACACCAGUGGCGAAGGCGAGUCUCUGGACAUUUCCUGACGCUGAGGCACGAAAGCCAGGGGAGCAAACGGGAUUAGAAACCCCGGUAGUCC
rnacentral:rRNA from 1 species